CGAACGGUAACAGGAUGUGCUUGCACAUCGCUGACGAGUGGCGGACGGGUGAGUAAUGCUUGGGAACUUGCCUUUGCGAGGGGGAUAACAGUUGGAAACGACUGCUAAUACCGCAUAAUGUCUUCGGACCAAACGGGGCUUAGGCUCCGGCGCAAAGAGAGGCCCAAGUGAGAUUAGCUAGUUGGUAAGGUAAUGGCUUACCAAGGCGACGAUCUCUAGCUGUUCUGAGAGGAAGAUCAGCCACACUGGGACUGAGACACGGCCCAGACUCCUACGGGAGGCAGCAGUGGGGAAUAUUGCACAAUGGGGGAAACCCUGAUGCAGCCAUGCCGCGUGUGUGAAGAAGGCCUUCGGGUUGUAAAGCACUUUCAGUUGUGAGGAAAAGUUAGUAGUUAAUACCUGCUAGCCGUGACGUUAACAACAGAAGAAGCACCGGCUAACUCCGUGCCAGCAGCCGCGGUAAUACGGAGGGUGCGAGCGUUAAUCGGAAUUACUGGGCGUAAAGCGCACGCAGGCGGUUUGUUAAGCUAGAUGUGAAAGCCCCGGGCUCAACCUGGGAUGGUCAUUUAGAACUGGCAGACUAGAGUCUUGGAGAGGGGAGUGGAAUUCCAGGUGUAGCGGUGAAAUGCGUAGAUAUCUGGAGGA
rnacentral:rRNA from 1 species